rnacentral:rRNA from 1 species
AGAGGGUGUACGGGCACACUGGCACUGCACACAAGGGCCAGUCCCCUAUGGGAGGCGCACGCGGGAAUAGUUCACAAUGGGCGAAAGCCUGAUGACGCGACGCCGAGUGAGCGAAGAAGACCUUCGGGUUGUAAUAGGCUCUGUCAGGAGGGAAGAAGGCUCUAGGUGCGUCAAUAGGCCCGUGGGAUUGACGGUACCUCCAGAGGAAGCCUCGCUGGCUAAAUACGUGCCAGUCCAUGCCGCGGUAAUUACGUAUGGGGCAAGCGUCGCUCCGUGAUUUACUGGGCGUACAGGGCGCGUAGGCGGUUUGUUAACUCGAAGGUGAAAUCCUCGGGCUCAACUCGAGAAUCGUCUUCGAUACUGGCAAACUAGACUGGCGGAGAGGAAAGCGGAACUCUUGGUGUAACGGUGGAAUGUGUAGAUAUCCUGAGGAACACCGGUGGCGAAGGCGGCUUUCUGGACGCACACUGACGCUCAGGCGCGAAAGCGUGGGUAGCAAAGAGGAUCAGAUACCCUGGUAGUCCACGCCAUAAACGAUGGGUACUAGGUGUCGGGGGUAUCGACCCCUCCGGUG